GAGGGAAACGGAACGAAGAGCGAAGUUUCAGGGAAAUAGAAUUUUGAGGUGUAACACGUGGCUGCAGUAGUUGCCUGUGGCGUUAAAAAUUCGAUUCAUCAUCACUGAACUUGGCACAAAUUCGGAGGCGUCUGCCACCUUCCAUGUAGGUUAUUGUGUGUAGACUGAUGGGAAAAAAUGGCAAAUAUAUCCAAUUAAACUGAAAUCUACAACACAAGGCAGUCUGCACAAAGUGAGGAAGGUCUGAACACUUUGUGAAUCCUGGCAUUACUCUGGUCAAGGAUGGAAGCAGCCCAGGAUAAGCCUACUCACGUACACGAUGGCACUAACACAAUUUGAAUUGCCAGCUAACCUGAAAUGUGCAACUGUGAGAAUGUGGAAGGAAUACGGCAGGUAAGCUGCCCAAAUCCAGGAGGACCUCAUCAAGGGCUUGAAUGAGGUAUGUGAUAACUCGCCGGGGUGAGAAGGCGCCACUGUCAGUGAUGUUCUCUUCCCCUUCUCUCCCUGCAACUCUGAGAAACUGCCAGUGAGGGCCGUUAGCUCCACCCCUUCUAGAAUGCGCUGCCAUAAGAAGCCCAGUUGCCUGGAAAAAGAUGUCAUUCUCCUCAGAGCUAACCGGCAGAGGGAGCUCCCAAACGAUUGACCCUUUCCUCACAAGCAGCUACCUAGGAAUAACCUAUUGUUUUGAUUGUAUUAAAUUUGAUUUGUAUUAAACACCACUAACUAAAUGGGA